CUGGCUCGGAAACCCCAGGCUUAAAAGCCAGCAGCAGCAAAUGAAAGGAAUAACCUGAAGACUUGAAGGAACCAAAUGCUUGAUCUCCAUUUAAGUUUGAAGGAGAAUUCUAGGUCCAUUGGCUAAGGCCGUUCUGUCAGGAAGUUCUAACAAAGGACUGAAACUCAUGGGCAUAGCCAUGGAAAAUCACAAUGAAAUAAUGAAGUGUCACCAAAGUUCACUUAAGUAACACAAAGUGAACCAACGAAACCGCUGUCUAUUCUUAUGCUUUAUGGAGGCCUUCCAUUUUUGUAUUUGUCGAAGAUAUAAAACCACAUCUCAAAACCCAUGUAA
rnacentral:lncRNA from 1 species